GUGCUUGCUUCGGCAGCACAUAUACUAAAAUUGGAACGAUACAGAGAUUAGCAUGGCCCCUGCGCAAGGAUGACACAAAAAUCAAUUUAAAAAAAAGAGUAAAUU
rnacentral:snRNA from 1 species